rnacentral:rRNA from 1 species
UACAGAGGUGGCAAGCGUUGUUCGGAAUUACUGGGCGUAAAGGGCGCGUAGGCGGCCUUCUAAGUCAGACGUGAAAUCCCCCGGCUUAACCUGGGAACUGCGUCUGAUACUGGAGGGCUUGAGUGCGGGAGAGGGAUGUGGAAUUCCAGGUGUAGCGGUGAAAUGCGUAGAUAUCUGGAGGAACACCGGUGGCGAAGGCGGCAUCCUGGACCGACACUGACGCUGAGGCGCGAAAGCUAGGGUAGCAAACUGG